CUGGUGUACUGACCUCUGAACCGGCGAGUGUUGCCACUGAUCCACCUGACGCUGGUGCAGAUCCUGUCCAGCCAUUGAAGCCGAAUGCUGGAGCUGUGCUUGCUCACUCCGCCCGAUGUCCAUUGUCUGGUCGUCGCCCAUCUUCUCCUCCGCGGAAAACUUAACGUGUCGCGGGUCCUCACUGCACGCACGGAUUUCUCGUCGCCACUGUUACGUCCUGGAGUUCGGGGUGGCCGGGAGACAUGACAGUCUAUUGAAACUCCCAGGCGUAGCGAAAUUAACACGUUAAAACAUAACUUUAUUUACAUUAAAAUAACAUUACAAAACGACACGUAUGUACGACACGGCGACUACAUUACUUCUAUUCUAAUCUCUGCGAUUGUGCAUCGACCGAGGCAUAACGAAAUGCUAUCGGCGAGCACGCAGAACGGCGAGAGCAUGAGACCCAGUCCAGUGGUUCUCAAAACUCACAAUCCUUUACAUGAAUCAAAGAGGACGCGUAUAGUAUGGUAGCACGAAGGUCUCAAAAUAGUGUUUAAUAUGAACGGCAGAAGCCCUCCCAGCUCAGCCCUCCCCACCCAUGCAUUUUUUCAUAAGCGGUGCAUGUGGAGGCACAGAGCAAGAGUGAUUAUGUCAAAUGUUGUCCUUGCAUGCCCUGUGGUCCUGAGAUGUGAAUGUGGAGCAAUUUGUGUACUUCAAAUUUAUGCUGGUCGAAGAAAACCAUGAAAAUGUUCUGCCAAAGUGCACUAAGUACAAAAAAAAAAUUCAAAAAUGUGAAAAGAUUCGAACUUUGAUCAUCUGAGUGAUAACCAAGCGCGUUACCUCUAGGUCAUAUUACCUUGCUGAAGGUCUGUCGUUAAGUCUGAAUGAAGUUCUAAAUAUUCUUCUCAAGGAUGGUUUUUGUGAAAACGCCAUUUUUCGAUCAGCCAAAGUGAACCAAGUGUUUGAUUUUUUUCAAGCUUUAUUAUUCUAAUUAGCCUUGUUGUACAAUGACGGCUCAUGUGUUAAAUUACCAGUAUGAGGUGUAUCGACAUAACGCUUGUAUUAAAAACCAGUUGGUUUUUGUAUUCUUGAGAAUAAAUUGCUCCUAAAAUGCUGUGGACUUGGUUCGGUCUGGCUGAAUAUGAUUUGGAAAAAUGGCGAUAAACGCCAUCGAAACAUAAUUGAUUCCUCCAACACCCAUAUUUCUAAUAACGUAUUCAUUUCUCUCACAUAUUGUUACUAUGAGUCGGUUAGAAGUUAGAAAUCUGACGGCGAUGAGGAGAACUUGAAAUGUUCAUCACCUGGACCAAAACUAAAAUAUUUCGCUGAUUCUAUCGAAUGGUUUACAGUUCACUCUGGUUGGAUGCAAAAUAAUAUUUUGUAUGUUCUACCAAACAGAAAUUUUGAAUUUACUCCGCGAAGAGCUGUCAGAAUUACUGGAUUUUUACAUGGAAGGAAGAUCAUCAUUUUCUUCACCCAAUGGUUAAAAAAAACUCAAUUUUUCAAAAAAUGGUCUUUGGUUCGGUUUAGCAGAACCCCGACCAUAUAGGGCCCAUAUAGCCGAGGCGGUAAACGUACGGGUAUUCAGCAUGACCAUGCUGAGGGUGACGGGUUCGAUUCCCGGUCGGUCCAGGAUCUUUUCGUAAAGGAAAUUUCCUUGACUUCCUUGGGCAUAGAGUAUCUUCGUGCCUGCCACACGAUAUACGCAUGCAAAAUGGUCAUUGGCAGAGGAAGCUCUCAGUUAAUAACUGUGGAAGUGCUCAUAGAACACUAAGCUGAAAAGCAGGCUUUGUCCCAAUGAGGACGUUACGCCAAGAAGAGAGAGAGAGGGGACACUAUCUUACGGUGUUUCAAGCAGAGAUUCUUGCUAUUUUGAAAUGCGCAAAUAUCUGCCUUGAGAGAAAAUACAGAUAGGUAUGCAAAUGUUUGUAUUUUCUCAGAUAGGUCUAUGUACAUACACUGGCCUAGUAACUGGACACUGCCCGAGCAGGUAUCACUUGAAAAAUAUUGGUCAUAUUCAGAGUGAUAUCUGUCAUUUCUGUAAUACGGAACGUGAAACCUCGGAACAUCUGCUUUGCAGUUGUGGUGCUUUAUACACGCGCAGGCAAAGAUUUCUAAAUAGUGGUUGCUUGCAAUCCAGUGAGAUCUGGUCUGCAAAACCUGGGAAGGUCUUGGAGUUUAUCAAUUUCAUUGCACCUGACUGGGAGACGACGCGUCGUGGCAGUAGCUGAUUGCUUGACACAUGGUAAUUAGCUGGCUAGAUGCGAAUAUCAAAACGGGACAUGCCACAAAAGUUCAGCCUAUUGGACGCAGUGGCUUAAUUUCCCCAA